rnacentral:lncRNA from 10 species
GAGACGACUGAGCCAGCUAAGUGACCGUGCUCCCGUUCCAGUCAUGCAGCCGUCAACACCUGGGUUCAGAAUCUGAAGUACGCUUUUCAGAUAUCCUCAGAAGAGACCGAGAGUUGUCCUUUAAGGAUGAAUUUCAUCUUCUGAAGCGACCAGAGAUAUCAGAAGCCAAAUGCAGUGACUACAAUGAGCUGUCCAGCACGGUCAAACUACAGAAGAGCUCGGCUUCCUGAGGUGAGGACUUUGAAGGAAAAAGCGCUCAUGGGGAUGUGUGUGGUCAAGUGUAUUGGAUAAAGAAAAAUCGGUGUUCUUUCCUUGCUAGGUGUGUGUGUGUGUGUGUGUGUGUGUGCCUGCUCGCUGGCACAUCUCACACUUUGUUUUGAAGCCUCGGAGAGCUAACAGACUCACUAGUAAAUGCACUGGGGAGUCUACUAUUACUAGCCCAUCCCUUUUGAAAGCAAAUAUACCUUCAAAUAGAUACGUUUUGUUUUGAUUAUGUCUCAGAUCUGUUUAAAAUAGGACCUAGCUGAAUCCGGCAGAAAUGCACAUGCAUUCAAAAUACACUUUGAGAGUCUGUGAACUCUAAGCAGAAAACUGCUCACAAAUUCCAAUAAACUCUUCCAGUUUUCUAUGACAAGAAGGGAAACAGCUGCAGGAAGCUUCCAGGACAGGGAACCGGUGGUGGUUGCUAACUUCUGGAAGGAACAUCUUCUCAAGACUCCUUGGUCGUUUCUACCAUCCGACCUCUGAUUCUCCUCACCAAAGCCUCUACACGGCAAAGGUCCUCUUAGCUGAGAGCAGAGCUUAGUAUAUGAGCAUUAAAGCAUGCUGGGAAUUAGAAGUUUGGCCUGUCUCUGCACAUAGCUGCAAAUGAACUUUAUCAGAGUUCAGGGGAAAACAGUCUUCAGGUAAACAGGAACAUGUGCCAGUGGAAAUCCCAGCCGUUUGUAUACUGAGCAAUGAGAGAAGAUUUCUUCUUUGACAGCACGACGGAUACCAUCAUAAAACAGUCCUGCGAUCGCAGCAGAGAAUCUGUCUGAAGAGCAAACCCAGUGCUGCACCUGCACAUCGAGCAGGUUCUGCCCUCCUGUGAUGUGUGGUACCCAAAAGUCAGCCUCCCUCACCAGGAACUGGGUAAUAGUCCCCGGAGGUAAUGGUUCCGAGAUGGCCACAGCCCUCCAGAUCACCAAAAUUAAUGACUUCGCUUAGCAUAUUUGCGUAGCUUCAUCCAGAUUACCAUCAUCAAGAUACAGUAAGUAAAGAACUGCUGACUUCAGAGAAGCCUGAUUCACACUCUUCGUUUCCCAUAUCUCUGCUGUAACUUUAUAAUAAGCCAUCUGCACUAUGACUUGGAGCUUGGCUUCCAGUAUCCCACUGAAAUGAGCUCAUGUGUCUGACCCUAAAUCCUUAACCACAGAAGAAUAGGAGAGCUACUGGGCUUCGUGGUGACCCUGGAAUUCAGUGCCGAGUCCUCCCACUUUCAUG